UGCCCUAGUAACGGCGAGUGAAGCGGCAACAGCUCAAAUUUGAAAUCUGGCUCUUUCAGAGUCCGAGUUGUAAUUUGCAGAGGGCGCUUUGGCUUUGGCAGCGGUCCAAGUUCCUUGGAACAGGACGUCACAGAGGGUGAGAAUCCCGUACGUGGUCGCUAGCUAUUGCCGUGUAAAGCCCCUUCGACGAGUCGAGUUGUUUGGGAAUGCAGCUCUAAAUGGGAGGUAAAUUUCUUCUAAAGCUAAAUACUGGCCAGAGACCGAUAGCGCACAAGUAGAGUGAUCGAAAGAUGAAAAGCACUUUGGAAAGAGAGUCAAACAGCACGUGAAAUUGUUGAAAGGGAAGCGCUUGCAGCCAGACUUGCUUGCAGUUGCUCAUCCGGGCUUUUGCCCGGUGCAUUCUUCUGUAGGCAGGCCAGCAUCAGUUUGGGCGGUGGGAUAAAGGUCUCUGUCAUGUACCUCUCUUCGGGGAGGCCUUAUAGGGGAGGCGACAUACCACCAGCCUAGACUGAGGUCCGCGCAUCUGCUAGGAUGCUGGCGUAAUGGCUGUAAGCGGCCCGUCUUGAAACACGGACCAAGGAGUCUAACAUCUAUGCGAGUGUUUGGGUGUCAAGCCCGAGCGCGUAAUGAAAGUGAACGGAGGUGGGAACCCGCAAGGGUGCACCAUCGACCGAUCCUGAAGUUUACGGAAGGAUUUGAGUAAGAGCAUGGCUGUUGGGACCCGAAAGAUGGUGAACUAUGCUUGAAUAGGGUGAAGCCAGAGGAAACUCUGGUGGAGGCUCGCAGCGGUUCUGACGUGCAAAUCGAUCGUCAAAUUUGGGCAUAGGGGCGAAAGACUAAUCGAACUAUCUAGUAGCUGGUUCUGC
rnacentral:rRNA from 1 species